rnacentral:rRNA from 1 species
GGGUUGUGAGGUUAAGCGACUAAGCGUACACGGUGGAUGCCCUGGCAGUCAGAGGCGAUGAAGGACGUGCUAAUCUGCGAUAAGCGCCGGUAAGGUGAUAUGAACCGUUAUAACCGGCGAUUUCCGAAUGGGGAAACCCAGUGUGAUUCGUCACACUAUCAUUAACUGAAUCCAUAGGUUAAUGAGGCGAACC